AAGUCAUUAAGUUUUGAUAUUCAAGUAGCACAGGACUCAUAGUCUAAUAGCUUUAUUGGCUAAAAGUAGAAAAGAAGAAGAUCUUGUUUUAGUAGCAUUGAGUGCCUAUGUUGCUUUAGAAUGGAAAAUGCCACAAAUGCCUAAGACUUAAGCAUUGUAAAACAAUAGAAGUAAUUUCAUAUUUUAUAACCUUUUAUAU
rnacentral:lncRNA from 1 species